AGCCCUUGAUGACAAACUCUUUAUUUCUGACACCUCGUAUGAGAGCCAGUAUUGGCUCCAGUGAUUUUUUUAUAUUCUGAGGCUC
ensembl:snoRNA Small nucleolar RNA SNORD60